UGUAUAAUGGGUCAGCGACUUAUAUUCUGUAGCAAGGUUAACCGAAUAGGGGAGCCGAAGGGAAACCGAGUCUUAACUGGGCGUUAAGUUGCAGGGUAUAGACCCGAAACCCGGUGAUCUAGCCAUGGGCAGGUUGAAGGUUGGGUAACACUAACUGGAGGACCGAACCGACUAAUGUUGAAAAAUUAGCGGAUGACUUGUGGCUGGGGGUGAAAGGCCAAUCAAACCGGGAGAUAGCUGGUUCUCCCCGAAAGCUAUUUAGGUAGCGCCUCGUGAAUUCAUCUCCGGGGGUAGAGCACUGUUUCGGCAAGGGGGUCAUCCCGACUUACCAACCCGAUGCAAACUGCGAAUACCGGAGAAUGUUAUCACGGGAGACACACGGCGGGUGCUAACGUCCGUCGUGAAGAGGGAAACAACCCAGACCGCCAGCUAAGGUCCCAAAGUCAUGGUUAAGUGGGAAACGAUGUGGGAAGGCCCAGACAGCCAGGAUGUUGGCUUAGAAGCAGCCAUCAUUUAAAGAAAGCGUAAUAGCUCACUGGUCGAGUCGGCCUGCGCGGAAGAUGUAACGGGGCUAAACCAUGCACCGAAGCUGCGGCAGCGACGCUUAUGCGUUGUUGGGUAGGGGAGCGUUCUGUAAGCCUGUGAAGGUGUGCUGUGAGGCAUGCUGGAGGUAUCAGAAGUGCGAAUGCUGACAUAAGUAACGAUAAAGCGGGUGAAAAGCCCGCUCGCCGGAAGACCAAGGGUUCCUGUCCAACGUUAAUCGGGGCAGGGUGAGUCGACCCCUAAGGCGA
rnacentral:rRNA from 1 species